GUCUCCUCUCUGACAAUGACUUUCUUCAGAGAAGGAAAAGUAAACUUUAUUUUUUUGCUUUUAAUUUAUGCAAUUGAUGCAUCUACUUGUUUAUUACCCAGAUUUAAAUGCAUGUAUUGUUGACAAUUGGAAUCUCCCCAUGUUUAGAAGCUAAGAAGAUCAGCAAUAAUUUUUUUUUCUUUUCCAUUAUGGCUUAUUACAGGAUAUUGAAUAUAGGUCCCUGUGCUAUACAAAAGGACUUUGUUGUUUAUCCAUUCUAUAAAUAAUAGGUUACACCUUCUAGUCCCAAACUUCCAGUCCGUCCCUCCCCUGGCAAUAAUUUAAUUAUAUUAAUAAGAGAUGCCAACCUUUCACUUUGCCCUCUCCCCAUCUCCAUGUGAAAAUACACUCUUUUAUAAGUGUUUAGGCAAUGAAUAUGCCAAGGAAUAAGUGCUGAGUUAUAAUUAAAUAUGACAGUUUUUCCAAAUGAAAACAAAAAUCUUCAAUUCUUUAUCAAAGGCUAAUGUAGGAUCAUGCUCAAUAAGGAUUGCUUAUUUUGAACUACAUAUGUCCAGAGCCAAAACAAUUUGAACCAUUCAAGAAGAAUACACUUUAGUGUAAUUCUUGAAUAGUGAGCUUUUUAUAAGAAAGCUUAUUUCUAUGAUGUAGAAUAAUUUAUCUGCAUCAUUUCCUCCAACCUGAUUGCUUCUCAUCAAUUAAAUUAGUCUACUGCAAAACUCGGAGGAAUUUAACUUACUAAAUUAUUGGUUACUAUUCUCCCAUUCUUAUUUCCAGAAAGACUCAGCAAUUUAUAUUACAGUUGUAUUUAUUAAUGUUAUUUUUAGAGUAAUUGAACUACUAAACAUUGAGCUUAAAACAAUUCCUUUGAAACAAAAUUAAAGUGUGAUUUUAUAAAACAUAAUUUGUAAACAAAUAUUGGUCAUAUCCUUUUCCUGUACAACAUAGUAUAAAGGCUCAAGCUUUGGAGUCAAGUAGACCUGAGUUUGGGUUCCAGUUCCGCCAUUAAUUAGCUAGAUGACAUUGGGCAUAUUACCUGACCUGCAUAAGCCUAAUUUCCCUCAACUGUCAAAUGAGAAUUAUCAUAGGUGUUAACUCAGUGCACCUGGAAUGUCUUAAGUGCUCAAUAAAUGUGUGCUAUUGUUCUAGUACCUGCUUUGCAAAGUAGACAAUACUUUUAGAUUGUAGUUAUUUUAUGGGUUAACAAGUCCUUGUUGAUUUAAAUUAAAUUCCUGUUACUCCUGAGGAAAUCAAUAACAUUCAUCCAAGGUUUUAAAGAAUCAUGUCUUUUUGAUGGCCUUUGGGUAAUUUGUGUGAAACUAGGCUAUAAUUUCAGUCUUUCUAAAUAUCUUGAACUAUGUUUUCUAACUUUGUUCAUCUCCUCUGUAACCAGCCUAAUCCAAGCACCACCUUCUCUUGUUAGGAAAACUGCAACAACCUUCCUUUACCCAACUCAUCCACUCUGCAAUCAGAUUCCUAUACUGUGGUUAAAACAAUCUUCUAAAAGUACAAAUCUUACUCAUGUCUUGUUCGCACUCCUCCCAACAGCUGAAAGCUCCUCAGUGGGAAGCAGGUUCUGGAUCCUGUCUUCCUUCUUGUUACCUCAUCUCUUACCAUUAUCCUCCUUCUUCUUAGUGCUACGCUGGAUGUUUCCAGGUUCUUAAACUUCCCACACUUUUCUUGCUCAGAGCUUUUACAUAUAUUCUUCCCAUUGCCUGGAAGACUCUCACCCAGGUCAGCCCCAUUCACUGGGUAACACCCUUCUCAUUACCUUAGAACUCCACUUCCUUGGGAGUCCUCCCACCUCAGUCUUUGCCAGGUUCCUUUGUCCUCAGCUUUUACGGAUUGGUGGGGUUUGUUUUCCUUUCCUGUACUUAUCUCACGUCAGAUGGGUGUAUACUCACUUGUGAGUGAAUCUUAUUAAAGUCUCUUUCUUUCACUAGAUAGAAAGUUUUGAGAAAGCAGAGACCAAUGUCUGUUUCUAUUUACCCCUGUAUGACUGGUACUAGCAGCACAGUGCCUGGCACACAGUAGCCCUCAAUAUAGAUUUGAUGAAUACAUUUAUUACUCAAUGAAGCAGGCAGUUUCUGAAAGGAAGGGAAUGAGGAGACAAGCUCUCCGAUAAUAAACAGAAGCAACUUUAGAACCUUUGCUCAUGCCCGGCCCUGGCUCUCUACAUAGCCUCUACACCCCAGCAUUGUGGACCAAUGUGAAAAGUAUAGGAUUGUUUUCCCAUCAGAGAUGAUGAAUCUUGUCCAUGUCAAGCCAUAUGAAGUGGGAUUCAGGAGUGAAUUCAAAGGAGAAAAAAGGUAUAUUUGAGUUACUAGAGGGCUGUUUUAAAUUAUAUCUGCUCUCCUGACGUUUUUUUUUUAGUCCCUUAAAAAAAGUUAUUCACAUCUAAGAUAAAUGAAGAUCACAAAAUGCAGACCUUUUCUUUCACCAACAAAGCAUCAAAAGGUUCAGUAAAUGAUGGUUAGAGAGAGAGUCUCCCUAGAGGCUGCACCCUCCUCAGCCCCGACCACAUAUUCUGCUGCCUCAGGACGCGUCAUGACGGUAGGCAGAGAGACUGCAACCUGCAAAGCACAGCUGCAGCAGAGCAUGUUGCCCCAGCCUCCAUCCAGAAUACACCUCCCUUAGCCUUUAUUCAUCUCUGAAUGCCAGCAUUAAGCAUUCAUUCCUUUUUCUUUGUGCCCCGUGACUUUGCAAGCCCUCCAGGUAGGGACAUCAGAUUAAUCAUUUCUCUCUUAAGUUCUUAAGAGGCAUGAACUUAUGGAUAUUUUUCAGCAGUAGGCAUGGACUAGGAAAGAGCAUAAAAGUGCCAAGAACACCUGAGGGGACUUGGAAAGGUAUCACCAAUGGCAAGAAAACAAGGGAAUGUAAAGGGUUGGUGGGGAGCACAGAAGACACCUGGGUCUAAUUUGUAAUCUUGGCAAUAUUGACUGUAAUCUGCCUCAACAAAUUAAACAGUUUUCAAGGAACAGAAAAGAAGUUGUGUAGAAGCUCACAUAGUUACCAAUGAGGAGUGGAGAAUUUGUCUCAUAACAGGCAACUCUGUGUGUCUGACCUCACAGCUUCUUACCAUAUGCUAGGAUUGCAGGGGUGGCCAAUUCCCUUCGAGAAGGCUCUUGGCAUUCAUACCUGUCCCCCUGAUGCUUUUCUGGUCCCUCUUUUUCUUCCUGAACUAGCUUGCCUGCCUAGGGAGAAGAUGAGUCAAUGAGGAUGAGUGAUGAAAGAGUCUCAGACUAUCAGGCCAUCUCACAAAGGAGCAAACACCUCACAGGAGGAAAAUAGACUGAGGGCCCAGGCAGUAGGAAUUGUCCACGGUGCUGAUACCUUGAGGAAGCCAUUUCUCCUGCAAGCGGCCUGGGGCUCUAAACCUGGAACUUGCCCGAUCUUCUCCCCCAACCCACUGCAGCAGCCAUUGUUCAGGAGAAGCUCAAGUGCCGUCGGUGUGUCUCCGCUCUCCACACAAGCAGCAACAACAGCUACCGGGGAUUUUUGUUGGCCUGUUGAUUUUUGUUAAGGCAAAUGUUGGCAAACACCGGGCGUUUGUCAGUUACCACGCGCGCUGCCGUCCCCUUCAGACCGCAUGCUGUUUCUCAAGCCAACUGAAACAGGUGUGAGCCCUCUGUUUACCCUCCUCACCUGAGAGCAGGAACUCCCACAAACACAUACUCACUCAUGCACACUCACACCCCACACACCUACGCUCACAUAAAUUACACACACAUCCACACUCACUGACACAAAUUAUACAUUCACGUACUAACAGUCACACGCGUUCAUAGAGCUCAUACAUUCAUACACAGUCUUUCAUACAUGUGUAUACUCACAGAUUCACACACACUUGUACACUUAAGCACACUCACACAGUCACACACAUAGCUCAUGUCCAAGCUAUGAGGCCUUGAACAAUCGUGUCAGUGACCCGCGCCUGCCAAUGCUUGGAGCUGCGUUGAUUUUGCGUUGUUGUUAUGAGUGUUGGAUGGGAUAGUUUAAGGAAAGCCCCUCACUUCUGACCCGGAAUCAAAGAUGAAGUCCCUCGAGGUCUGUAGGCGCCGUGAGGGGAGCCACCCACUCCCCGGAGGGAUUAGGAGCUCGUAAAUAAUAAAUAAAAGAGCCCAGGCAGGCCGAGUUGGGGAAGCCCGGUGCUAAAUCACUCCCCAAAUCACAGCCGCGUCGUGCUCCAUCCAAUAGCUCUAAGCGAUUUGUGGGGUUGGGGGUUGGAAUCAAUUUUUUUUCCGUUCUCGCAGGUGCAAUAUGAAUCAAUUAGCUUAAUUAAGAUUAUGCCGCAAGCCCAGGAGAUUUGGGGAGGACGGGUUUUGCACUCGGGGCGACGGCGAGGCAUUUUAAUAGCUUGUCUCUUGCUCCCGGCUCUCCCCCGCCGCCCGCCUGUCGAGCCCGGGCAGCUCCAGCCUCUGGCCAGGAUCCGGGCGCCCAGUGGCCUCCCUGGAGGCGUGGGCGCAAACUCCGCGCUGAGCCCGCGGUCUGGGCAGAACCCGCAACCUCCCCCUGCGGCCUCCCACGGGCUUCUGAACUACCCGGCCUAUGAGGAACGUGUGGCUUCCAGUCCUCCCGCGGACCCAGCACGCUACGGUCUGACUACCGGGCUGCAGCCUCCCGGGAGGCCCGCGGGCAGUCUCAGCAACGAUGGCGCUGGAGGUAGACACUGCCGGCGCACAGGCGGGUCGCCACCUGAGCGCUGAGGGCCCGGAAGCUCACUGAGAGCCAGGGUGAGACCGAACCUCGCUAGGUCUCUGGAACAACCCGGAGUGGUCUUUUCUUUGUACAGAUCCCCAGGCCUGGGCCAACGAUGAGCAGAGGGAUUAGGGUGAAUUUAUCAGGAGGAGAAGGCGGGAACGAGUGUAGUAAUUCCCGCACUAUGUGCAUUAGAAUCUCGGCUGGCGAACCCCCCGCGUUUCCUUUCCUUCCCCGCCCAAGAACAUCUGGCUCCACCAAGAAUCUCCUGUAUUCCACAGGGUGUCGCAAACUGGGGAAGUUUGCGCUUCCGGGGGUGGGGGGGAAUCCCCUAGGCCACCCCAGGCCUUCGGGGCAGCUGGAACCCUCUUCCACCCGGCCCCCAACAUCUCCUCUGAAGCUCCCCUAAGACUGAGAAAUGAGAGCCAGGGCACAAGUUCUACAUCCCCGUGGGCACGGUGGGCUAGGCCGUAGGGGCAGCUGCCGGAAGAGUGGCAGCACUUGGUCCACGCGCCGCGUGUCCUGGGACUUCCGAGUUGUGGACCGGCCUCUGCCGGCUGUUACUCUGAUGCCCCUCGAGUUUUAACCCUUCAUUUAAGAUAUAUACUGUACAGGGGUAAAUACUGAGACUAGGCUCCUGGGUGAAUCCUUUGAUCCUCUUCUGUGAUGUUUGUACACCGACGAGUGAACUCAAAAACCAAAACUCUGUACAGUUCUGCCCUGGAAACUCAGCACGGUUCACGCCACACUUUGGGCAACGGGUCGGGUCUCACACCCCUUUAUUCCUCUUUCAGAUUUGCACUGGACCGGGAAGCCUACAUUGCAGCCUUCUAGACACCAGCUAUCACGUUAGGAUUCUCUUCCCCUCUCGUUCCGUAUCCCCCCUCUGGUUUCCAGAUGCACCGCUCACCCCUGACACUGUUUUCAAACUCAAGGGGCUUUUAGAGCAAUUCUAGUUGUUCAACGCUUUCAUUGUAAGGGGACACGGGUCGGGGAGGGGAUAAGGGGUUAGUUAAUGGAAGAUUAGAGGCGAAUCUGGUGGAGAAAAGGGGGCAGGGAAGCAAUAGAGCCAACUUUAAAAAGUGUUAUCAUUCUGGAACAUGCCUUGGUGGGAACGAGUGAAUGAUCACCAUUUAAACACAAAUAUGGCUCUUUCAGCGUUAGUCAGGAAGCUCUGUGGUUUUUGCUUGACCUGCAAGGUGGAGGUCACAUCAGAGUCUUUGAGGUCUGGAGAAGUUGUGGCCAUCAGCCCUUCCCAGAGUUGUGCUAAUGACCUUUCUAGGAAGAGGAGUGAAGAAGACCCCUUUAGCACAGGCCCUUUGCGCCCUCCCUUUAAGGCUUGUCUCAACCAAGUUUCCAUUUACAGGUCUGAAAGUGGAAACUAAGGGGGGCAAGGCAGCCUGUGUUAGGGAACCAGGGUAAGGGCACGCUUUACAUCGAUCCAAUGGCCUUGGUUAAAAGGCAGAAUCCGAGCUUCAGAGAAGUCCUCUAGGUUUCAUGCAAGAGAGCUCCGGAGGCCAAAGAAGCCAAGGACUAGCGCGCUCUGAGGACAAGGACCACAGGCCAGAGGGGUACGGACAUAGUGAGGAGUCUCCAGGGAUAUGGGUAGCUGAGGGUCAGGAUACGCCGGGUUCCACGUAACGGUGAAGUAGAAUGACAGGUACGAAAUUUUCUACACUGUUGGGGCCGGGCGUGGGGGAUCCAGUUAAAGAGGUUAGGAACUACUUUCACGCUUGCGUUUACAGAUGAAGCCGUCUUUUUUACGUAUAAUAAAUAGUGUAUGUUAGCUUAAGGGGCUGAUGGAGAUUGGGAGAAGCCACCCUUUGGCGCCAAUGAGCAAAGUGUCUACCAAGGGGGAGAAACCAAGAGAUGGAUACCGCAGAGAGGGCAGGGAGUGCCCGGGAAGCCAGUGCCUGGGCGAGGAAUCCAAAGAAGUCUCUCGCUUCUGCCUCUUUCACCUGUGCCCUACUUACCGCGCCAGCGCCGGCCACUAAGUCUGAUCUAAACCCAGUCAGUGUUAGCUUUCCCGCUCCCUUCUCUCAAACUCCUUCCCCUUUCCCCCUUCCCCCCCGCGCCCCUUCUCCCCUUGUGCCGCCUGAAAGGGUUAAUCUCUCCUGCGGGUAAAAACAGGUCCGCGGAGUCUCUAACUGGCGACAGAUGGGCCACUUUCUUCUGGCCACAAAGGGGCCGGAAUGGAGCGCUCCGCGGCAUACAAAUGGGCAGGUCACGUGGUUCCCGGCUCUUGGCUGGACUGGGAGGACCAUAUGGCGCAUGCCGGGGAGGAAGGAG